rnacentral:rRNA from 1 species
UACGUAGGGGGCGAGCGUUGUCCGGAGUACUGGGCGUAAAGCGCACGCAGGCGGUCUGCUAAGUUUGGAGUGACAGUUGGUGGCUUAACUGCCAAAGUGCUUCGAAAACUGACAGACUUGAGGGCUUCAGAGGGACACGGAAUUCCGGGUGGAGUGGUGAAAUGCGCAGAUAUCAGGAGGAACACCGAUGGCGAAGGCAGGUCUCUGGGCAUUAACUGACGCUGAGGAGCGAAAGCAUGGGGAGCGAACAGG